rnacentral:rRNA from 1 species
AUUGAACGCUGGCGGCAUGCCUUACACAUGCCAGUCGAACGGCAGCACGGGUGCUUGCACCUGGUGGCGAGUGGCGAACGGGUGAGUAAUACAUCGGAACAUGUCCUGUAGUGGGGGAUAGCCCGGCGAAAGCCGGAUUAAUACCGCAUACGAUCUACGGAUGAAAGCGGGGGACCUUCGGGCCUCGCGCUAUAGGGUUGGCCGAUGGCUGAUUAGCUAGUUGGUGGGGUAAAGGCCUACCAAGGCGACGAUCAGUAGCUGGUCUGAGAGGACGACCAGCCACACUGGGACUGAGACACGGCCCAGACUCCUACGGGAGGCAGCAGUGGGGAAUUUUGGACAAUGGGCGAAAGCCUGAUCCAGCAAUGCCGCGUGUGUGAAGAAGGCCUUCGGGUUGUAAGCACUUUUGUCCGGAAAGAAAUCCUUGGCCCUAAUACGGUCGGGGGAUGACGGUACCGGAAGAAUAAGCACCGGCUAACUACGUG